CACUACUGAACCAUUUUAGAUAUCAAACCAAAAUGGGCAAGGCCCAAGUCUGUACAAUGACCCCAGUCCAACAAAAGACCCGAUCCAAAAAAGGAAUGUGAAGAGUUUCUAAAAGUGCUACAAAUAGUCAAUGUUGUCCAAGAGUAGUCAGUACUAUUCACUUCUCUCCAUUUCUACUACCUUAGCUCAAUAUUCUCUCCAAUGUUGAAUCGACAGAUCAUCUUGUACCUUCUGUGGUUGGGGUUUGUCACCAAGGUGAUGAAGGGAUGUGGUCAGAAUGUUCAUCUUCUCCGCGCAUUGUAGGUUCUCACAUCCUUCUCUCUUAUCCGCUAGCCCAUCAUCUACCUUUUCCAUCUCUGAUGUUCUUAUUGGUGAUUUACAAAUGCUGCUAUAUCUUUGUUGCUCCCCCUCGCGUCACUGAUAAAGUUGAGUUGCUGUGGAAGGAGGCUCCAUUUACCCCUUUUUUUAUGAAGGUUUUUGGUAGCUAAGGAAUCUAACUAGAAUUAGCAUAGUAGAGUAGUCAUCUUGUGACAAAAACAAUUAUCUUUGUGCUCUUGCUUAUUUUUAAUUUCCAUGGGAUUGUAAUUAUUAGUACUACCUGCUAUUCUCUGGACUAUGUGUGACUGUUCUUUAAUUUCACGUAUGUUUACUGUUA